rnacentral:rRNA from 1 species
AUUGAACGCUGGCGGCAGGCCUAACACAUGCAAGUCGAGCGGCAGCGGGGGAAAGCUUGCUUUCCCGCCGGCGAGCGGCGGACGUGUGAGUAAUGUCUGGGAAACUGCCUGAUGGAGGGGGAUAACUACUGGAAACGGUAGCUAAUACCGCAUAACGUCUACGGACCAAAGUGGGGGACCUUCGGGCCUCAUGCCAGCAGGUGUGCCCAGAUGGGAUUAGCUAGUAGGUGAGGUAACGGCUCACCUAGGCGACGAUCCCUAGCUGGUCUGAGAGGAUGACCAGCCACACUGGAACUGAGACACGGUCCAGACUCCUACGGGAGGCAGCAGUGGGGAAUAUUGCACAAUGGGCGCAAGCCUGAUGCAGCCAUGCCGCGUGUAUGAAGAAGGCCUUCGGGUUGUAAAGUACUUUCAGCGGGGAGGAAGGUGUUGUGGUUAAUAACCGCAGCAAUUGACGUUACCCGCAGAAGAAGCACCGGCUAACUCCGUGCCAGCCGCCGCCGUAACAC